rnacentral:rRNA from 1 species
GUCUUAAUGUGUAUUUUUAUUAAGUCUAACCUGCUCAAUGAUUAAUAAUAUUAAAUAGCCGCAGUAAUUUGACUGUGCGAAGGUAGCAUAAUCAUUUGUCUUUUAAUUGAAGGCUGGAAUGAAUGGUUGGAUGAAGAAAUUACUUUCUUUAUAUUAAAGAUUGAAUUUAAUUUUUAAGUUAAAAAGCUACAAAUAUAUUAAUGGGACGAGAAGACCCUAUAGAAUUUUAUUUUUUCCCUGCAAUUGUAUAUUAUAUUGGUAAUUGAUAAUUUUUUGUGGAUUAAAAAUUUUGUUGGGGUGAUAUUGAGAAAUUAAAAACUCUUAAAAAUUUUAAUUAUUAAUUGGUAUUUAUUAGAUCCUAAUUUUUGGAUAUUUAGAUUAAAUUACCUUAGGGAUAACAGCGUAAUUCUUUUGGAGAGUUCUUAUCAAUAAAAGAGAUUGCGACCUCGAUGUUGGAUUAAAAUUAGAUUUAAGUGCAGAAGCUUAAUUUCUAGGUCUGUUCGACCUUUAAAAUUUUACAUGAUCUGAGUU